AACGAACGCUGGCGGCAUGCCUAACACAUGCAAGUCGAACGAGACCUUCGGGUCUAGUGGCGCACGGGUGCGUAACGCGUGGGAACCUGCCCUUAGGUUCGGAAUAACUCCCCGAAAGGGGUGCUAAUACCGGAUAAUGUCUUCGGACCAAAGAUUUAUCGCCUUUGGAUGGGCCCGCGUUGGAUUAGCUAGUUGGUAGGGUAAAAGCCUACCAAGGCGACGAUCCAUAGCUGGUCUGAGAGGAUGAUCAGCCACACUGGGACUGAGACACGGCCCAGACUCCGAGGGGAGGCAGCGGUGGGGAAUAUUGGACAAGGGGCGAAACCCUGAUCCAGCAAUGCCGGGGGAGUGAUGAAGGCCUUAGGGUUGAAAAGCUCUUUUACCCGGGAUGAUAAUGACAGUACCGGGAAAAUAAGCCCCGGCUAACUCCGG
rnacentral:rRNA from 1 species